CCGCCGUGUCUCACCUAUCACAACAUCUGCACGGGAAUGUGAAUGCAGGUGAGGCAGCAUCCAUGGAACAGUAGACAAAAAUGUUGGAGAAAUGCUUGAGUCUGAAGAAGGGUCAAACUCAGACAUAAAUGCUGCCCCACCCGCUGGCUUACUCCAGCAUUUUGUGUCUAUCUUGCUUCAAUUUCUUAUGUUCUCCUUUGUCAGUUUAGGGACGAAUCACAAGAUUUUUCUAGUAAAGGAAGGGAGAAUGAAUAAUAAUCCAGUCAUCGGAACGAUGGAAAAUGAUGAACUUGGAAAAGGAAUCAAGGGGUGGAAGAAUGCAACCUUCACGUGGUCCGCCCUGUUUCGACUAAUGUAAUCAACUCGACGUGCACAAACGGAAGAUCAAAUAGAACAAGUUGUCCAACAACUUUAGGCUGUGCACGCCACACGAAAGAAGAAGAAGAAGCCAAGAAUCAACAUCUUCUAUUCCAUUUGAGUAGCUUACAACCCAACAGUAUGAACAUUGAAUUCUCCAAGUUCAAUGGUACUUUAUUUAAUGGUACAUAAAAUGCAGGUGACAGGCGUCAGGGAUUAGUACGGGUGUCAGGGAUUAUGGGGAGAAGGCAGGAGAAUGGGGUUAGGAGGAAGAGCCUUGAUUGAAUGGUGGAGUAGACUUGAUGGGCCAAAUGGCCUAAUUCUGCUCCUAUCACUUAUGAACUUUAUUUGCACAUGUACUGGGGUGCAGUGACAUUAUUUUUCUGCAUAGAGUUCAAUAAAAGUAUUACUA